rnacentral:rRNA from 1 species
GUGGGGAAUCUUCCGCAAUGGACGAAAGUCUGACGGAGCGACGCCGCGUGAGUGAAGAAGGCCUUCGGGUCGUAAAGCUCUGUCAUCAGGGACGAACGGCCGGUGGAGUGGAAAGCCACCGGAUUGACGGUACCUGAGAAGGAAGCCACGGCUAACUACGUGCCAGCAGCCGCGGUAAUACGUAGGUGGCAAGCGUUGUCCGGAAUUAUUGGGCGUAAAGCGCGCGCAGGUGGGAUCUUAAGUCCAUUUUGAAAGUUCGGAGCUCAACUCCGUGAUGGGAUGGAAACUGUGAUUCUUGAGUACCGGAGAGGAAAGCGGAAUUCCCCGUGUAGCGGUGAAAUGCGUAGAUAUGGGGAGGAACACCAGUGGCGAAGGCGGCUUUCUGGACGGUGUCUGACACUGAGGCGCGAAAGCUAGGGGAGCGAACGGGAUUAGAAACCCUGGUAGUCC